UACGUAGGGUGCGAGCGUUGUCCGGAAUUAUUGGGCGUAAAGAGCUUGUAGGCGGUUUGUCGCGUCUGCUGUGAAAAUCCGGGGCUCAACCCCGGACUUGCAGUGGGUACGGGCAGACUAGAGUGUGGUAGGGGAGACUGGAAUUCCUGGUGUAGCGGUGGAAUGCGCAGAUAUCAGGAGGAACACCGAUGGCGAAGGCAGCUCGCUGGGACGGUACUGACGCUGAGGCGCGAAAGCGUGGGGAGCAAACAGG
rnacentral:rRNA from 1 species